AACGAACGCUGGCGGCAUGCCUAACACAUGCAAGUCGAACGAGACCUUCGGGUCUAGUGGCGCACGGGUGCGUAACGCGUGGGAACCUGCCCUUAGGUUCGGAAUAACUCCCCGAAAGGUGUACUAAUACCGGAUAAUGUCUUCGGACCAAAGAUUUAUCGCCUUUGGAUGGGCCCGCGUUGGAUUAGCUAGUUGGUAGGGUAAAAGCCUACCAAGGCGACGAUCCAUAGCUGGUCUGAGAGGAUGAUCAGCCACACUGGGACUGAGACACGGCCCAGACUCCUACGGGAGGCAGCAGUGGGGAAUAUUGGACAAUGGGCGAAAGCCUGAUCCAGCAAUGCCGCGUGAGUGAUGAAGGCCUUAGGGUUGUAAAGCUCUUUUACCCGGGAUGAUAAUGACAGUACCGGGAGAAUAAGCUCCGGCUAACUCCGUG
rnacentral:rRNA from 1 species